AGCGAACGCUGGCGGCAGGCUUAACACAUGCAAGUCGAGCGGGCAUCCUUGUGGUGUCAGCGGCAGACGGGUGAGUAACGCGUGGGAACGUGCCCUUCGGUUCGGAAUAACUCAGGGAAACUUGAGCUAAUACCGGAUACGUGCGAGAGCAGAAAGGUUUAUCUGCCGAAGGAUCGGCCCGCGUCUGAUUAGCUAGUUGGUGAGGUUAUGGCUCACCAAGGCGACGAUCAGUAGCUGGUCUGAGAGGAUGAUCAGCCACACUGGGACUGAGACACGGCCCAGACUCCUACGGGAGGCAGCAGUGGGGAAUAUGGGACAAUGGGGGCAACCCUGAUCCAGCCAUGCCGCGUGAGUGAUGACGGCCUUAGGGUUGUAAAGCUCUUUUCUCCGGGACGAUAAUGACGGUACCGGAGGAAUAAGCCCCGGCUAACUUCGU
rnacentral:rRNA from 1 species